rnacentral:rRNA from 1 species
CCCUUAGAGUUUGAUCCUGGCUCAGAAUCAACGCUGGCGGCGUGCCUAACACAUGCAAGUCGAACGCGAAAGCCCCGCAAGGGGUAAGUAGAGUGGCAAACGGGUGAGUAACACGUGGGUGACCUGCCUUCGAGUGGGGGAUAACGUCCCGAAAGGGACGCUAAUACCGCAUGACAUCCUGCUCUUGGACGAGCGGAGAUCAAAGCCGGGGAUCGCAAGACCUGGCGCUUGAAGAGGGGCCCGCGCCUGAUUAGCUAGUUGGUGGGGUAACGGCUCACCAAGGCAACGAUCAGUAUCCGGCCUGAGAGGGCGGACGGACACACUGGGACUGAGACACGGCCCAGACUCCUACGGGAGGCAGCAGUGGGGAAUUGUUCGCAAUGGGCGCAAGCCUGACGACGCAACGCCGCGUGGAGGACGAAGAUCUUCGGGUCGUAAACUCCUGUCGAGCGGGACGAACGCUUCGCGGAUGAAUACUCCGCGGAAUUGACGGUACCGCUAAAGGAAGCCCCGGCUAACUCCGUGCCAGCAGCCGCGGUAAUACGGGGGGGGCAAGCGUUGUUCGGAAUUACUGGGCGUAAAGGGCUCGUAGGCGGCCAACUAAGUCGGAUGUGAAAUUCCCAGGCUCAACUUGGGAACUGCAUCCGAUACUGGAUGGCUUGAAUCCGGGAGAGGGAUGCAGAAUUCCAGGUGUAGCGGUGAAAUGCGUAGAUAUCUGGAGGAAU